AUGAACGCUGGCGGCGUGCCUAAUACAUGCAAGUCGAGCGAACAGACGAGGAGCUUGCUCCUCUGACGUUAGCGGCGGACGGGUGAGUAACACGUGGAUAACCUACCUAUAAGACUGGGAUAACUUCGGGAAACCGGAGCUAAUACCGGAUAAUAUAUUGAACCGCAUGGUUCAAUAGUGAAAGACGGUUUUGCUGUCACUUAUAGAUGGAUCCGCGCCGCAUUAGCUAGUUGGUAGGUAACGGCUUACCAAGGCAACGAUGCGUAGCCGACCUGAGAGGGUGAUAGGCCACACUGGAUCUGAGACACGGUCCAGACUCCUACGGGAGGCAGCAGUAGGGAAUCUUCCGCAAUGGGCGAAAGCUUGACGGAGCAACGCCGCGUGAGUGAUGAAGGUCUUCGGAUCGUAAAACUCUGUUAUUAGGGAAGAACAAAUGUGUAAGUAACUAUGCACGUCUUGACGGUACCUAAUCAGAAAGCCACGGCUAACUACGUG
rnacentral:rRNA from 1 species